rnacentral:rRNA from 1 species
CAGCCGCCGCGGUAAUACGUAGGGUGCAAGCGUUAAUCGGAAUUACUGGGCGUAAAGCGCACGUAGGCGGCUAUUCAAGUCAGUGGUGAAAGCCCGGAGCUCAACUCCGGAACUGCCAUUGGAACUGUGAAGCUGGAGGACGAGAGAGGUGAGUGGAAUUCCCAGUGUAGAGGUGAAAUUCGUAGAUAUUGGGAAGAACACCGGUGGCGAAGGCGGCUCACUGGCUCGUUUCUGACGCUCAUGCACGACAGCGUGGGGAUCAAACAGGAUUAGAGACCCCAGUAGUCCCUGUCUCUUAUAC